AUCCCUGAGGAGGAAAUGAGGAAACUAUUUGAGAAAUAUGGGAAAGCAGGAGAACUUUUCAUUCAUAAGGAUAAAGGCUUUGGCUUUAUCCACUUGGAAACACGAACCCUUGCAGAGACUGCCAAAGUGGAGCUGGAUAAUAUGCCUCUCCGUGGAAGGCGACUGCACAUGCGCUUUGCCUGCCAUAGUGCAUCCCUUACAGUCCGAAACCUUCCUCAGUACGUGUCCAACGAACUACUGGAAGAAACAUUUUCUGUGUUUGGCCAGGUGGAAAGGGCUGUAGUCAUUGUGGAUGAUCGAGGAAAACCCUCAGGAAAAGGCAUUUUUGAGUUCUCAGGGAAGCCAGCUGCACGGAAAGCUCUGGACAGAUGCAGUGAAGGGUCUUUCCUACUAACCACAUUUCCUCGGCCUGUGACUGUGGAGCCUAUGGACCAGUUAGAUGACGAAGAAGGACUUCCAGAAAAGCUUGUUAUAAAGAACCAGCAAUUUCACAAGGAGCGAGAGCAGCCACCUCGAUUUGCACAGCCUGGCUCGUUUGAGUAUGAAUACGCCAUGCGUUGGAAGGCACUUAUUGAGAUGGAGAAGCAGCAGCAGGAUCAGGUGGACCGCAACAUCAAGGAAGGCCGUGAGAAGCUGGAGAUGGAGAUGGAGGCUGCUCGCCACGAGCACCAGGUCAUGCUGAUGAGGCAGGAUUUGAUGAGACGCCAAGAAGAACUUCGAAGAAUGGAAGAACUGCAUAACCAAGAGGUCCAAAAACGAAAGCAACUGGAGCUCAGGCAGGAAGAGGAGCGUAGGCGCCAUGAAGAAGAAAUGCGGCGACAACAAGAAGAGAUGAUGCAGCGACAGCAGAAAGGAUUCAAGGGAACCUUCCCUGAUGCACGAGAGCAAGAGAUACGGAUGGGCCAGAUGGCUAUGGGAGGUACUAUGGGCAUAAACAACAGAGGCGCCAUGCCCCCUGCUCCUGUGCCAGCUGGUACCCCAGCUCCUCCAGGACCUGCCACUAUGAUGCCCGACGGAAUCUUGGGAUUGACGCCACCAACAAGUGAACGCUUCGGCCAGGCCACUACGAUGGAAGGAAUUGGGGCAAUUGGUGGAACCCCUCUGGCUUUCAACCGUGCAGCUCCUGGAGCUGAAUUUGCUCCAAAGAAACGUCGCCGAUACUAAUAAAGUU